CGGACGGGUGAGUAACACGUGGACAAUCUCGCCCCCCGGCCCGGGAUAGCCCAGGGAAACCUGGAUUAAUACCGGAUGAGACGGGACCCGCGAAGGCGGGACCGGGAAGGCGCUGCGGCGCCGCCGGGGGAUGAGUCUGCGUCCCAUUAGCUAGACGGCGGGGUAACGGCCCACCGUGGCGACGAUGGGUAGCCGGCCUGAGAGGGUGGACGGCCACAUUGGAACUGAGACACGGUCCAGACUCCUACGGGAGGCAGCAGCUAAGAAUCUUCCGCAAUGGGCGAAAGCCUGACGGAGCGACGCCCGCGUGAACGAAGAAGGCCGUGAGGUUGUAAAGUUCUUUUCGGGAGGGGGAACAACCGUGGCAGGAAAUGGCCGCGGGAUGACGUGAAUCCCGGAAUAAGCCCCGGCUAACUACGUGCCAGCCGCUGC
rnacentral:rRNA from 1 species